rnacentral:rRNA from 1 species
GAUGAACGCUGGCGGCGUGCUUAACACAUGCAAGUCGAACGGUGAAGCGCUUUCCUUUUUGGUUGGUGUGGAGGAGUGGCGAACGGGUGAGUAACACGUGAGCAACCUGCCCACUUCUUCUGGAUAACCGCAUGAAAGUGCGGCUAAUACGGGAUAUUCUGCGCCUGCUGCAUGGUGGGUGUGGGAAAGAUUGUGCAUUUGGGUGUGUUCGGUCGUGGAUGGGCUCGCAGCCUAUCAGCUUGUUGGUGGGGUGAUGGCCUACCAAGGAGGUGACGGGUAGCCGGGCUGAGAGGGUGGACGGUCACACUGGGACUGAGACACGGCCCAGACUCCUACGGGAGGCAGGAGUGGGGACUAUUGCAGGAUGGGCGCAAGCCUGAUGCAGCGGCGCCGCGUGAGGGAUGGAGGCCUUCGGGUUGUGAGCCUAUUUCGCCAGUGAAGCAGGCCUGCUCCUUGUGUGUGGGUUGACGGUAGCUGGAUAAGAAGCGCCGGCUAACUACGUG